rnacentral:rRNA from 1 species
UACGUAGGGCGCAAGCGUUGUCCGGAAUUAUUGGGCGUAAAGAGCUCGUAGGCGGCUUGUCACGUCGGGUGUGAAAGCCCGGGGCUUAACCCCGGGUCUGCAUUCGAUACGGGCUGGCUAGAGUGUGGUAGGGGAGAUCGGAAUUCCUGGUGUAGCGGUGAAAUGCGCAGAUAUCAGGAGGAACACCGGUGGCGAAGGCGGAUCUCUGGGCCGAUACUGACGCUGAGGAGCGAAAGCAUGGGUAGCGAACAGG